GGGUCGCGAACGCCGGUGGCGCGGGGCGGCCGGUGCGCAGCAGGUCGAGGAAGAGCUUCGGCAUGGAGCAGAGGACGUCGGUGAGGAUGGUGUCGGACAGCUCCGGCACGAGGAAGGGA
rnacentral:ribozyme from 1 species